CAUCCUUUGACAUGGCGUGUUACCCAGAGAGAUUUGGGGUCCACUUCGGUGGCGCGCACACAGGUGCUGCAUGGCUGUCGUCAGCUCGUGUCGUGAGAUGUUGGGUUAAGUCCCGCAACGAGCGCAGCCCCUAUCGGUAGUUGCCAUCACUAAGUUGGGAACUCUACCGAGACUGCUGUUGAUAAAACGGAGGAAGGUGGGGAUGAUGUCAAGUCAUCAUGGCCUUUAUGCUUAGGGCUACACACGUGCUACAAUGGCCGGUACAAAACGUUACGAUCCCGCGAGGGGGAGUUAAUCGCUAAAACCGGUCUCAGUUCGGAUUGAAGUCUGCAACUCGACUACAUGAAGAUGGAGUUGCUAGUAAUGGCGAGUCAGCAACAUCGCCGUGAAUACGUUCUC
rnacentral:rRNA from 1 species